ACCAGUUGAGCAACCACCUAAGACAUUUGUAUUGAAGGAGAAAUUUGAAUAUUUCAAACCAUCAGUCCAGGUAGAGAUGGAAAAUUACGACAAACCUGACACAGUCACAGAAAUCUUUAUACGAGGGUGGAAGAUAGAUGAGACAAUGAUGGCUACAUUUGCUCAGUGCUGGCCUGUCAUGGAGAAACUGCACACAAUCAAUCUGUGGAACACUGGUUUGGCGGGAGAGACGCUCACCAUGAUGGCUAACUGUAUCCCAAACAUCGUCAACCUCAGG